rnacentral:tRNA from 1 species
CCCUGGUUAGCUUAGUUAGUAGAGUGCUACACUGGAAAUGGAGACGUCCUGGGUUCGAUACCCAGACCAGGCG